GACCAAACCCGCGCUCCUCGUCCUCCUCCUCCGACAGAAGCAGCAGCUGCACUAGUCUCCGUCGCCACUGCUUCGCUGCUCUCGCCGCCGCAGCUCCCCUUCUCCCCCGCUCUCCCGCCGCCGCUGCUCCCCUGCUCCCCCGCUCUCCCGCCACAGCUGCCUCCUGCUCCGCCGCUGCAGCUACCGCUCGCCUGCCUCCCCAAGCUCCCCCUUUCUCAAAAAAAUCCUUGAUUUGGAUCCCAUGUUAGUCCAACCCACAGCUACCGCCGCGCUCUGCUUCAGCUGCGUCGGAACUGCCGUCGGAGAGCCCGCGGGCGCCGGAUACGGGCCACCAACAACAACCUAAAGGCCGACGAGCAGCCGGGUGUCGUCCUCGCCGUCGACGACGACGGUGCCGCCGACGUCGCGAAGCGAGGGCGAGAUCCUCUAGUCGGACAACAUCAAGAGCUUGCGGGCCUCCUCGCCGCCCCUGCCUCGUCGCGGGCUCGGCACACCGCAACUCUUCUUGGCCAUUUCUCCCUGGCUUGACUGGUUGCGGCGCGGGAGAAGGCCGAGGCCGCGCUCGCCGAGGGGGACGCCGUGCGGGCGGAGGCCCUCUUCACCGAGAGCAUCGCCAUGGACUGAAUCAUUCUUUUCAGCCGGCGGCCAAUCUUUACAUCUUGUACUGACAGAGAAUGUGUUGUAAAGGUGGGCUGCAUCUGGCCUAGGUGUAAGGCGAGAAUAGCGAUUGGGGAUACUACUGGCGCCCUCGCAGAUGCCGAGGAAGCGAUAAGGAUAGCUCCCAAAUUUCCUCAGCACAAGCAUGGCCAUCCACCAACAUGCAAAACAAGUUCAAGACCAAAAAUAUGUGUUUCUUGCUGUUUACUCAACUGAACCAGAUUGGGUUUCAAGUUCCAAGUUUGUGACAUACUUCUGCUGUUGAUUGACUGCUCUGAAGUCUGAACUUCAUGGAGACCGUUUCGACAAAUGAGGACACCGGCAAGGGGGCGAUGUGGGAGCUGGAAAAGAGCCUUGAUCAGCCGAUGGACACAGAGGCCGGGAGACUGAGGAAUAUGUACAGAGAAAAGACCUACCCAACAGUUUUGAUGCUACAACUAGCUUUCCAGUGCCUUGGUGUGGUGUUUGGAGAUUUAGGCACAUCACCUCUUUAUGUUUUCUACAACAUCUUUCCUGAGAAGAUAGAAGACACAGAGCAAAUUAUUUCUAGCUUGCUCCCUCCACCCCCCUGAUAUCUACUGAUUUUUAUUCAAUUAACACUAAUCAUAUUCAGUUAACAGGAGCAGAGCAGUUCUUCCUGACGAACAGGAGCAGAGCAGCAACUCCCGUACACUGAUCAUAUUCAGCACAGGGAGCAGAGGAGCAACUCCUUACGGUACCUUCUUCCUCUUGACGAGAAGGAGCUCUGGCGGAAGCAUGGGCAGAUGAGCAGCAGCAGCACCGGCGGUAGGGGAGAAGCAGCCGCACGGGCGCACGGGCAGGGGAGAAGCAGCCGCACGGUCACGCGGGCAGGGGAGAAGCAGCCGCACGGGCUCGCGCGAAAGAUUGAGGAGGGCGCGCGGGCAGGGGAGAAGGAGGACGCGCGCGAGCUCCUGGUCCACCGGAUCGUGGAGGCAAUUUCCGGCGAAGCCCGUAGGGGAUUGCGGCCGGGAUGAAUUGCGGUGGCGCACGCACGGGAGCUCGAGGAGGAUACACUGGAGCUUGAGGAGGAUGCGCUGGAGCUUGAGGAGGAUGCGCGGGAGCUCGAGGUGGACGCCCGCGAGCUCGAGGAGGACGUGGCCAGAGGUCCCGACGAUGCCCGCAGGUAAUCGAGGCGGGAGGGGAUCGCGGCGACGCAAGUCUGAGCGGGGGAGGCGGCGGAGCAGGUACUUGGCGACGGCGGCGACGGAGCAGGUAGGUGGCGACGGCGGUGGAGCACUUCCUGAUGGGCGGCGAGUCGCGCAGCUGGGCGGCGCCGGCCCCUAUCGACGGCGGAGGAAGAAUACAGGAGGCGGAGGGGCUUGUUUCAGACGAUUUUAAAACUACAAGGGCCUUUUUACAAAAUCAACAAUGAACUGCGCCCCCGACAUGUUUUUUGGGACGGAGGGAGUACACAAUUUCCAAAUAAUGUUCUCUUUUCAGAAUUUCCAAAAAGAUUUGCAAAACCCCAUUUACCAAAAAAAACUCACACUUCUGAA